rnacentral:lncRNA from 1 species
CAUUAUCUUCUAAUGAAGAUAUGUUUUCGGAAAACACAGUGCUAAGAAUUUACUUAUAACUAGCUGGUAACUACUGUAAGGAUAGUUUGUGUCAGUUUUUAAUCUUAAGCAAUAUCAAGACAUUCUUCUAAAAGUCUUAUGUUUCUGUAUUCAAGUAAUAACAACAGUUAAAAUAAGUUAUCCUCUAUUUCUGAGUUCAUAUUGCUUGGAUUAAGCUCUGUAACCUUUAAAGUACUUUUAAUCUGUUGCCUUUAUACAUACGCAUUUUACCUUUUAGCAAAUUAAGAUCUUUUUGUAAGACAGACUGGAAAUGAAAUGUAUUUCUCCUUAGUACUUAAAUACCUUUUCUCAAAACAAAACAAAAAAACUCAAAAUGCUUCAAUAAUUCACAAAUACGGUAAAGAGAAUUUACUCUUAGAACUGUCUGGAAUUCCCCACACUGCCCUACUCCCAAGUAGCCUAAAUUUAAUAUUUAGAAUCGCAAAUAACAUUAAACAAGAACGUAAUGGCAGGUUUUUCUGUUUGUUUAAUAUUAAACAUUCUUCUUGCUUUUACAGGUAUAGGCACAGCAUGGUAGAUAGAGGUAUUCCUUCCAUUUUUAUAAAAUGCCAUGCUGAUUUGUCUGUUUUAAAAUUACAAUCUUAAUUUUUAAAAAUAUACGUUGUUCAAAAAUCUGUGGUCAGGUUGGUAAUAGGAAAUAUAGUCUUUUCUUCUUUUUUCUUUUUUUGGGAAACAUAGUCUUAUUUUGUUCCAAACACUGUGUAAGGAAUUCACUUAUGUAGGAUUAUAAUCCCAUAAUCAUUGUUCUGAAAUCCACAAAGCUCUAAAAACCAUACAUAUUUUAAUACAUUUGCUGUUAAAUCUACUUCGGUGGUAAAGCCUGCACUGCACUGACAUAGGGCUAUGUAUAGUCUUUAACUCAUUUGGUGUGAAUACUCAUACAUUUUGCUGCAGAAAUACUGUGUGAGAUUAUGGGGUACUCACCCAGGACUCAGUGGGGGGGGGGGGGUAUUAAGUUAAACGAUGGGCAUAUCUAUUCUAUUUUUUAAAGUUCAGACACACACAGGGACCCAAGGAUUUUGGAAAAGGAAGUGUGUACCCACACUUUAUCAUCAAGUCAACCUUUUAAAAUGGAUGCCAUUAUCACCCCCAUUUUUAAAAAUAAAGAUUAAGUAAAUUGCUCAAGGUCAUAUGGCAAGUAAGUGGCAAAGCUGGGAUUCUAAUUUGUGCAGUUUGGCUCCAGAGUCUAUGAUUUCAAUAAUUAAUUAUAUGGUGCUACUUUUCCUACUGCUUUUCUGUAAAAUCAUAAGCAUAUAGAUCAGUUACAGCCAAAAUUUAUUCAUUAAAAAUGUCAACACCUUUUAAUUAUGGUCUAACAGUUGGAUGAGAGAACCAGUAUACUACAUUCUGCUGAUAUUGUUAGCAAUUUACUCAUUGUAAUUUGUUGGAUUUGUCUCAAAUUUUUUAAGCCAUGCAUUCUUCCAUCUCUGUCUCUCUUUUUCUUAAUUCUUGCAAUUUCGAUGAAGUUUCUUAUUUGUAGAAAAAACUAGGUCAUUUGUCCUAUAGUUUCCCUCCAUCUGGAUGUUGAUUUCUUACCUUUUGUUAGUGUGUUCCGCCUCCUGUGUUUAAAUCUAAAGGCAAUUAUUUUUCAACAAAAAUACUUCAUUAGGUGGAAGUGUAUUCUUCCAGCAGGAGACAGAUAAUUCCUGAUGGUUUCUCAGUUGUGAUAAAGAAAUAAUUGAUGAUCACUUCUUAAAUCUAUUAGUUCACAGAGCUUGUGGAGUGAUAUUGUCAUUUCUUUUUCAUUUAGUAGUUGGAAUGUUUCCAUAAAAAAUUUACUUCAGUUAUUUUGUUAUUUGCAUCAUAAUUCAUACAGGAAAGACAGUAUAAAUAUUCCUGAUUCUUUCCCUUUGUUUACCAGUUUUCAGAAUAAGAGUUGGUUUCCUUCUGUCAUUAAAAAUGAACAGC